UAAUACGGAGGGGGCGAGCGUUGUUCGGAAUUACUGGGCGUAAAGGGCGCGCAGGCUGUUUCGUUAGUCAGGCGUGAAAUCCCCGGGCUCAACCCGGGAACUGCGUUUGAUACUGCGGAACUAGAGAUCGGGAGAGGGUAGUGGAAUUCCCAGUGUAGAGGUGAAAUUCGUAGAUAUUGGGAAGAACACCAGUGGCGAAGGCGGCUACCUGGACCGAUACUGACGCUGAGGCGCGAAAGCGUGGGGAGCAAACAGGAUUAGAUACCCUGGUAGUCCACGCCGUAAACGAUGUGUGCUAGACGUCGGGGGUUACGCCUUCGGUGUCGCAGCUAACGCAUUAAGCACACCGCCUGGGGAGUACGGCCGCAAGGUUA
rnacentral:rRNA from 1 species